GCCGGUGUCACACUGUCCCUCUGCUCCACGAGGCAAACUCCACCUGGCUUCACAGCUCAGUUGGCCCUGGUGGCGGCAGGACAGCCUCCAAGUCCACAACCGGCAAGCUCUCCCGGAAAGGCUCACAAAUUGAAUUAAGAUGACCGAACCACAUGGUUUGUUAACUCCAUGAAGACUCACGCUGGGAGAAUGACGAGGAAACUAGGAGGAUGGGAGAUUUGAAGAAAGUGGAGAACUGGGAAACAGCUUCUCAGGAAAAUUCUGAAGGGAUGCUGAGAGCCUGAGAAACGAUAGCAGCACCAAUCUGUUCUCGUAGAUGACUCUUCUCCAGCUGUGCUCGGCAGCCCCGACAGCAGUGGAGACAAUGGAUAAUUACGUUCAGCAAGGUUUGGGGUUUUUCCAGGCGGGUGCUUCCCCUUUCCUCUCUGCCACAUCAUCUUGUCUUCCAGGUCAGUUCAGUUCAAUAUUAACAAAUGUCCACCAGGGAGGAGGCACUCAUAAGUUCCUGUGAAAAUAGAAGAAUAUUCUUGUGACUUCCAGGUUGGCCCAGAUAAAGCCAGAGGCUCUCCCAGUGGGUCCAUGGCUUCAAGGCAUCAAACCAUCUUCAACUGUGAGACUAUAGAUUGUCAAAAUGAAAAAAACAGUCACAAGAAAAAGAAAGUUCCUGUGGACUCCUUUUGAAUGUCUUUGGGUUAAAAGCAAUGGGAACAUGGUGGUCAGAUGUUCUAGGUUUACUUUCAAAACACAGAUCAGAUGGUGUUGAUAAACGUGUUCAUUUCUUCACUGCAGACUCCAUCCCUGAGUGUCCAUCAUGUGGCGAGUCCACGUGCUGUGAACUGCCAACUUGCUCUCUGGAAGUAGAGUGGAGGAAUCAGACGAAAGCUAAUGUUUACAGCACAAUUCAGAAUUUACACCUGGCAGAGUGAACCGUAAGGGGAGGUGUUGUGUCCUCUUUGGACGAGAGGUGGGACAA